rnacentral:rRNA from 1 species
AGAGUUUGAUCCUGGCUCAGGAUAAACGCUGGCGGCGUGCCUAACACAUGCAAGUCGAACGCCUUUAGCAAUAAAGGAGUGGCGGACGGGUGAGUAACACGUGGGUAUCUACCUUGAGGUGAGGAAUACCAGCGAGAAAUCGCUGACAAGACCGCAUAGCUUUCGGCAACGAAAGAAAGUCGCAAGACGCCCCAAGAUGA